CCUGAGGAAAAAAUAGAGAAAUAUAGAACCCAGAGAUGGGACAGUGGCGUUAUAUCAUCAUUUGAGCUCCUGGAUCAAGCUGUGACUGAAGCUGUUUUUACCCCUUGACCUUUUUUAAACAAGAUCCAGUACAUUUCCCUAAGCCAGUUAAAGCAGAGAGACUCCUGAUUAAUUCACUGUCUCUCUCCAAGCCUCCCUGGGAACUGGUCCUGACACUUUCCACUGCCCUUAGUCCUUGGGAAUGGAUCCCCACACCCCCUAAAGCCCCCAUUCGCCAUACACUGCCCCUGUAGAGGCCUGGACUGCUUGUGUGCAUCCGGUCUCCCUCACUGGGCAGGCAGUCCUCUGGGGGCUCUGGGUCUGCUCAUCUCCGUGUCCCCAGGCACAGACCGGGAUGGGAACCUGGGCGCCGAGGCUGCCUUCCCCGGCAGGGCCACAUUCCACAGUCAUCACCGGCUGAUGACCCAAGUGUCUGGCCGCUCUGGGAAGCCUCCCCCUGGAUGUCCCCCAGGAUUUCACCCUGACCUCAACAGCUUCCUUCCUGUGCCUCUUCCUCCCGGAUCCCCAGCUCAGGCACGGUCCCAUCACUGACUCUUGUCUCCUGAACCAGAGGCCUGGGCCUCCUCCUGGAUGCCUUCUUCCCCUCCCCUCCCAUAGCCCAUCCCUCUUCUCAUUCUAUCUUUUAAAGAUUUCGUAUGUUGUCCCUCUUCCCUCUCCCUGCUUGAUGCCUUGAGACCCUCCUGGUCUCCUGCCCCAGCC
rnacentral:lncRNA from 1 species